GUCUUCGUGGAGCAAGGACGCUCGCUCCCUGUGUAUGUGAAGCCGAGGGCCAUGAACAUGUACAUGUGGGAAAGCCGGUGGUUCGAUUCCACCCGAAGACA